GACGAACGCUGGCGGCGUGCUUAACACAUGCAAGUCGAACGGUAAGGCCCUUCGGGGUACACGAGUGGCGAACGGGUGAGUAACACGUGGGUGAUCUGCCCUGCACUUCGGGAUAAGCCUGGGAAACUGGGUCUAAUACCGGAUAGGACCACUGCCUGCAUGGGUGGUGGUGGAAAGCUUUUGCGGUGUGGGAUGGGCCCGCGGCCUAUCGGCUUGUUGGUGGGGUGAUGGCCUACCAAGGCGACGACGGGUAGCCGGCCUGAGAGGGUGACCGGGCCCACGGGGACUGCGAUAGGGCCCAGACUCCUACGGGAGGCAGCAGUGGGGAAUAUUGCACAAUGGGCGCAAGCCUGAUGCAGCGACGCCGCGUGAGGGAUGACGGCCUUCGGGUUGUAAACCUCUUUCAGCACCGACGAAGCGCAAGUGACGGUAGGUGCAGAAGAAGGACCGGCCAACUACGUGCCAGCAGCCGCAGUAA
rnacentral:rRNA from 1 species